rnacentral:rRNA from 1 species
UGGUGGGUAGUUUGACUGGGGCGGUCUCCUCCUAAAGAGUAACGGAGGAGCACGAAGGUUGGCUAAUCCUGGUCGGACAUCAGGAGGUUAGUGCAAUGGCAUAAGCCAGCUUGACUGCGAGCGUGACGGCGCGAGCAGGUGCGAAAGCAGGUCAUAGUGAUCCGGUGGUUCUGAAUGGAAGGGCCAUCGCUCAACGGAUAAAAGGUACUCCGGGGAUAACAGGCUGAUACCGCCCAAGAGUUCAUAUCGACGGCGGUGUUUGGCACCUCGAUGUCGGCUCAUCACAUCCUGGGGCUGAAGUAGGUCCCAAGGGUAUGGCUGUUCGCCAUUUAAAGUGGUACGCGAGCUGGGUUUAGAACGUCGUGAGACAGUUCGGUCCCUAUCUGCCGUGGGCGCUGGAGAACUGAGGGGGGCUGCUCCUAGUACGAGAGGACCGGAGUGGACGCAUCACUGGUGUUCGGGUUGUCAUGCCAAUGGCACUGCCCGGUAGCUAAAUGCGGAAGAGAUAAGUGCUGAAAGCAUCUAAGCACGAAACUUGCCCCGAGAUGAGUUCUCCCUGACUCCUUGAGAGUCCUGAAGGAACGUUGAAGACGA